rfam:Triticum aestivum genome assembly, contig: Triticum_aestivum_CS42_TGACv1_scaffold_501418_6BL
UUUGUACCCCCUCCGUCCCAAAAUUCUUGUCUUAAAUUUGUCUAAAUACGGAUGUAUCUAGUUACAUUUUAGUGUUAGAUACAUCCAUAUCUAAACAAAUGUAAGACAAGAAUUUUGGGACGGAGGGAAUAGUGC